rnacentral:rRNA from 1 species
CCUACGGGGUGCAGCAGUGGGGAAUAUUGGACAAUGGGCGAAAGCCUGAUCCAGCCAUGCCGCGUGUGUGAAGAAGGCCUUCGGGUUGUAAAGCACUUUCAGUGGGGAAGAAAGCCUUGGGGCUAAUACCCUCGAGGAAGGACAUCACCCACAGAAGAAGCACCGACUAACUCCGUGCCAGCAGCCGCGGUAAUACGGAGGGUGCGAGCGUUAAUCGGAAUUACUGGGCGUAAAGCGCGCGUAGGCGGUCUGAUAAGCCGGUUGUGAAAGCCCCGGGCUCAACCUGGGAACGGCAUCCGGAACUGUCAGGCUAGAGUGCAGGAGAGGAAGGUAGAAUUCCCGGUGUAGCGGUGAAAUGCGUAGAGAUCGGGAGGAAUACCAGUGGCGAAGGCGGCCUUCUGGACUGACACUGACGCUGAGGUGCGAAAGCGUGGGUAGCAAACAGGAUUAGAUACCCGAGUAGU